rnacentral:lncRNA from 1 species
CUUUAAUAAAUACAUAAAUUUACUUUGUAAGUACUGUGGAAAUAUGUCCAAUGUGCCUUGUAGUGAUAUGUACACAAAAAACUGUCAUCCCACGUGGAGUUAAAGCAAUACUGCCUUUCUUGUUUGCCAGGGAAAUUGUUUGUUUGUUUUCCUGAAGGGGAGCACAAUUGUUCAGACUGUUGUAAACUGAGUCAAAAGAGAUUUCAGCAAAGAGUUACGUUUCAUUGAAUUAUUUGUGACAGCUUUGAUUAAUUGCAGAUGUGUUAAUCAGAUUUUUUCAAUUUCUUAUUAACUACAGUACCUUUUUUUUUUUCAGGAUCUGAUUUUCCUUCUUUGCUGGCGAUAAUGUAAACCUGACCUGAAGGCUGGCUUUGGUCCAGCCUUGGCAGCUUUCAGUCACUGCACAGAGGAACAGACCUGGCUCCCGAUUGCUAUCACCAGCUGUUGUUACCAAGAAACCUGGAGACUUUCCAGAUAACCUGAAUGUUUUAGUACCAUCAAUGAUGGAUGAUGUUUUUCUGCGUCUCUUCUGCCGCUGUUAUGCGGUGAAGUUCAGCCACUCUGCACAAAGGUUAGACCCAGUUAAAACAGACUGUUAAUUAUUUAUGAGACAGCAAGAAGACCAAUGGGACUUCCACUUGUCCUUCUGGAGCAAUAAUGAGACCAUUACAGUCUAUUUAACACCAUGAAAAACAAUAUCCACAGGUGACCUUUCAGAAUCAUUGCCAAGUUGGAUUUAUGGCCAUCGUGUACUCUCACCAAAGAAGAAUAUCAAAGAGGGGCUUAAAGUUAAAUUGGCACUUCAAUUGGUAACAGCAUCCUGAGGUUUGAUAAUAAUAAAACCUCUUCAUUUUCCUUUAUUUUGUUUAAG